GGAGACUACAAUAAGCAUUAUCUAUAUUUAAAUGCAAUACUUUCCUUCCUAACUUACUAGAUACGGAGUGAUUGAAUGCAGGAAGUUGUAAUUUGGGAAAAGGCAUGAAGCUACCAACAUGACUGGAUUACAGGGACAUGAUAUCAGUGGCUGGAAUGAACAACUGGUUCCCAUAGAGAAUCUGGGAAAAAGAAGCUCUGUUACAGCCCUCCAAGGAUCAGGCCAUUAUAUUCAUGUGGAAGCUAAGAUAUAAGUGAAGCAGAAAAAAAUGCACCCAGAAGAACCACUCAAUAAGGACAGAAGCAAUGCCCAAGUCCUUCUCUUCCACACAAGUCUACCGAAGCCUUCAUAGGAGCAUCCUUUGUGGGGGGAGGAACCUUGACACCAGGAGGGGAUUGGCUCUGAACUCCAUAGCUUUAGUCCAUGUCAGGAUGGAAAUUAUUUUAGCAACAGUGCUUAGGACAGCUGAUUGGUUUACAGAUGCCUUCUCCCUUCCUCUCUAUUACUUCACGCUGCAACUGUUACCCAUUUGGAGACUUAAGUUGGUACAAAGUCAACAGGCAGAGUUUGCCAAGUGAAUUCCCCUCUUCUAAUAGAAGUGUUGACUGUGAAGCAAUUGUGGAUUUGGUUUUUGUUUUCUUGUUCAUUUGUUAGUUUUUGUGUGUGUGGUUUUUUUCACCAGAAAUAGGGAAGAAUUCAAAUUAAACAGAUUCAGAAUUGAGAAUUUGCUUAAUAGAUAGAAAUAAUGACUAAGAAAUGUUACCCUAAAGCAACUCAGUUACUUUUAUUCAAAAAUCUAGCUGCACUGUGAAAUACAGCAAGUUGUCUCAGUCUACCUGAAGAAAUGAAACAUGCAUGGACUUGGACUAGUUUAGGGCCUCAGCCAGUUCUGACAGCUUUAUUGAAAAUUACUGACAAGUACAAAUGUUACAAGAUGCUUGUCUAUGUCAUGUGAAUUUUAAAUAUUGCUCCAUGACUCUAUAUUGGUAAACAGAAAUCCAUCCUGUUCUUUCCAAAACUUUUAUAUUUGAUGUGUAAAACCACCUAAAAAGGCUUCAUGCUUCAGAGGCAGGACCCAUAGCUGCCUGAUUGUGGGGCAGCAUUUUAGGAGGCAGCACUCUGUGGCUGACCUUCAAAGGUGUGAUCUUUGUGACUACUUGUUGACCUACAUUCCCUUCUUUAAGGCAGCUGGCUGUGGCAUCCCACCCUUAAGGGGAAGGAACACCCAAGACUCAUAGAUUCUCAUGGCAAAAAGGAGCAACAAAAAUCAGAGGGUCCACAAAAGCCCACAAAUUUCAUUAGUAACUUACACACUUGGGAUUUAAAUUGGUAUGUUAGUUU